rnacentral:lncRNA from 1 species
CUAUGGCCGAGCGUCUACAGCGGCCAUGCCUAUUCAAACCACCACAGCGACCAUCAUUGCAUGCUGUGUUCUGGUUCCAAACCUGCCUUCUCUACUAACAGACCAGGGCGCCCACACUCACUGUAUAGAACUUCCUAGAAAGAACCCAGCAUGCCUUAUGCCACAAAGGGAGAUCUGUCCGUCUGUCCCUGCAAUGCUCGGAAAACACCCCCCAGAAUGAACCAAGAAAGCACUGCUGUUGGCUAUCCGUUGAUGUUGGUGGCUUCCAGGGCUGUGCGUAUCUGAGGCUGCCCUGGUCACUUUUGGAACCUGGAACCUCACCAAAAGGAGCAGAGGCAAAUGGUGCUGUAAACAUGGGGUGUGAAGGCCUACCCUCUGGGAGAUGACCACACAUGGAAAUGGCUACUGGAGAGGCCAGCCCCUCUCAUCAGAGCGACCCCCACAGCACCUCCACUGAGCCUUCUCUGCGCUGGGCUGGAAGUUGGGGUGACAAGUGAACCAGACAGGUUCUUGUCUCCAUAGGGGCUAAGUUGGGUGAGGGAAGACAGCAGGUUCGCGAACAAGUACAGGCUUUUCUUGUACUCCAAGGAAGAAGGAAGACAAGGGGAUCCCAAACUAGUCACACUUGAAAGGCUGCUUGAGUGACUUUUCAGGCACUCAUCCCAGAACAGAAGCCAGGCCUUGGGAGGAGGCUGGCCACACUCAACACCAUGCAGUAGUAAGAGGGAAGACAGGAGGAGAUUGUCCAGGUGAUGGUUGGCACUCUGAGACCCAGGCAUGGGGUGGGGACAUCAUGUAAACCUUGGGGGCUCUCUCUGGGUCACCUGGAGGUGUUUUGCUGAAAGGAGGCCUGGUCAGUCUCCCAGAAGUCAGUCAAGCCUAAUUUGUUUCUCAGCAGGGGAAAGGUGACCUUCUCAUUUACAGUCAAGAGGUACAGCUGCUUGGUCAUGUUUGGGGUAAAAAGCAGAGGUAGGGUUUUUGAUUGAGUCAGGAGCAGGCAGUUUUGGCUUUGUCUGUUUUCUGUUCUGUUCUCAGAAGGACAAAGGUCAUAUGUGUGUUUGUGUGUGUAUAUAAGUGUCUCAUUUGUGUGUGUGUUUGUGUGUGUGUGUGUGCACGCGCACGUAUGCACACUGAGGAGUCCUUUCUGAUUUGGGGCCACAAAGCCUCAUAAUUAGUUCAUGGCUGUUUCUCUCCCAAUCUGGGGAUCCUGAGCCUGGACGCUGAACAACCAAAAAUGUUCAUUGAAGCAAUCAGCCAAGGGUGUGAGCAGGAGAUGGGAAGUACUAGGAAAGUCAAACACAGGGGAACCCCCGACAGUGAAGAGGCCACACACACCAUCAUACCAUACAACAACAAGACCCUCACUCGGGCCUUACAGGGGGUGAACCUGAGAGAACACACCGGGAACUAAAGUGGAAACUUCUAGAUUCUUUGGAAAGUCAGUUAUGUCAAAUGAUAUUUUGCUGGGGCAGACACAUGAAAGAAUGUUUUCCUGAAGCAGAUACAGGUUGAAACCAUGGUUUUGUUUUGUUUAUUUUG